AUUGAACGCUGGCGGCAUGCCUUACACAUGCAAGUCGAACGGCAGCGGACCUUCGGGUGCCGGCGAGUGGCGAACGGGUGAGUAAUAUAUCGGAACGUGCCUUUCAGUGGGGGAUAACGUAGCGAAAGUUACGCUAAUACCGCAUAUUCUCUGAGGAGGAAAGCAGGGGACCUUCGGGCCUUGCGCUGAUAGAGCGGCCGAUAUCAGAUUAGCUAGUUGGUGGGGUAAAGGCCUACCAAGGCGACGAUCUGUAGCGGGUCUGAGAGGAUGAUCCGCCACACUGGGACUGAGACACGGCCCAGACUCCUACGGGAGGCAGCAGUGGGGAAUUUUGGACAAUGGGCGAAAGCCUGAUCCAGCCAUGCCGCGUGAGUGAAGAAGGCCUUCGGGUUGUAAAGCUCUUUCGGCCGGGAAGAAAUCGCACAGGCUAAUACCUUGUGUGGAUGACGGUACCGGAAUAAGAAGCACCGGCUAACUACGUGCCAGCCGCCGCGGUAA
rnacentral:rRNA from 1 species